UGCGGAUGCCUUUUACUCUCGUAGAUCAGU
rnacentral:piRNA from 1 species